GGCUCCAUAGCUCAGGGGAUAGAGCACCGCUCUCCUAAAGCGGGUGUCGCAGGUUCGAAUCCUGCUGGGGCCGCCA
rnacentral:tRNA from 2 species